UACGACGGGUACGGGUUGUGAGAGCAAGAGCCCGGAGAUGGAUUCUGAGACACGAAUCCAGGCCCUACGGGGUGCAGCAGGCGCGAAAACUUUACAAUGCUGGCAACAGCGAUAAGGGAACCUCGAGUGCCAGGUUACAAAUCUGGCUGUCGAGAUGCCUAAAAAGCAUUUCAUAGCAAGGGCCGGGCAAGACCGGUGCCAGCCGCCGCGGUAACACCGGCGGCUCGAGUGGUAACCGUUAUUAUUGGGUCUAAAGGGUCUGUAGCCGGCCGGAUAAGUCUCUUGAGAAAUCUGGCAGCUUAACUGUCAGGCUUUCAGGAGAUACUGUCUGGCUCGAGGCCGGGAGAGGUGAGAGGUACUUCAGGGGUAGGGGUGAAAUCUUGUAAUCCUUGAAGGACCACCAGUGGCGAAGGCGUCUCACCAGAACGGACCUGACGGCAAGGGACGAAAGCUAGGGGCACGAACCGGAUUAGAUACCCGGGUAGUCCUAGCCGUAAACGAUACUCGCUAGGUGUCGGCCACGGUGCGACCGUUGUCGGUGCCGUAGGGAAGCCGUGAAGCGAG
rnacentral:rRNA from 1 species